rnacentral:rRNA from 1 species
GUGGGGAAUAUUGGACAAUGGGCGCAAGCCUGAUCCAGCCAUGCCGCGUGAGUGAUGAAGGCCUUAGGGUUGUAAAGCUCUUUCGUCAGGGAAGAUAAUGACGGUACCUGAAGAAGAAGCCCCGGCUAACUUCGUGCCAGCAGCCGCGGUAAUACGAAGGGGGCUAGCGUUGCUCGGAAUCACUGGGCGUAAAGCGCACGUAGGCGGCUUUCUAAGUCAGGGGUGAAAUCCCGGAGCUCAACUCCGGAACUGCCUUUGAUACUGGAAAGCUUGAGUUCGGGAGAGGUGAGUGGAACUGCGAGUGUAGAGGUGAAAUUCGUAGAUAUUCGCAAGAACACCAGUGGCGAAGGCGGCUCACUGGCCCGAUACUGACGCUGAGGUGCGAAAGCGUGGGGAGCAAACA